UGGCGGGCGCCUCGAGUCGGCCUCACGGUCGAUCUUGUUGGCGGCCGCCUUUGUGGAGGGGGGCUUAGGUCGGUGCUUUAUUGUCACUCCUUUGUCGCUGCCACCGUUUACUGUGAAAAAAUUAGAGUGUUCAAAGCGGGCGUUUGCCAUGAAUACAUUAGCAUGGAAUAAUAGAAUAGGACCUGGUCCUGUUUUGUUGGUUUGUGAGUAUCAGGUAAUGAUUAAGAGGGACGGUUGGGGGCAUUUGUAUUCCGGCGUCAGAGGUGAAAUUCUUGGAUUGCCGGAAGACAAACAGCUGCGAAAGCGUCUGCCAAGGACGUUUUCAUUGAUCAAGAACGAAAGUAAGGGGAUCGAAGACGAUCAGAUACCGUCGUAGUCUUUACCAUAAACUAUGAGGACUGGGGAUCGGGCGUGGCUAUUUGGUACGCUCGGCACCCUUCGGGAAACCAAAGUAUUUGCUUUCUGGGGGGAGUAUGGUCGCAAGGCUGAAACUUAAAGGAAUUGACGGAAGGGCAUCACCGGGUGUGGAGCCUGCGGCUUAAUUUGACUCAACACGGGGAAACUUACCAGGUCAGGACAUAGUAAGGAUUGACAGAUUGAGAGCUCUUUCUUGAUUCUAUGGUUGGUGGUGCAUGGCCGUUCUUAGUUGGUGGAGUGAUCUGUCUGGUUAAUUCCGUUAACGAGCGAGACUUGGGCGUGCUAGCUAGGCGCUGUUACCAUUUCCGGUAGCGAGGCGGCCUUCCUAGACGGACUGCGGGCGUCUAGUCCGCGGAAGCUCCAGGCAAUAACAGGUCUGAGAUGCCCUUAGAUGUUCUGGGCCGCACGCGUGCUACACUGAGCGGGUCAACGGGUGAGGAUGUGCGAAAGCAUUUCCCAAUCUCUAAAUCCGCUCGUGAUGGGGAUAGAGGCUUGCAACUUUCCCUCUUGAACGAGGAAUACCUUGUAAGCGCGGGUCAUCAUCCCGCGCUGAAUACGUCCCUGCCCUUUGUACACACCGCCCGUCGCUCCUACCGAUUGAGUGGUCCGGUGAGGCCUUGGGAGGUCUGCAUGUCCUGUGUUUCACUUGUGUGCAGGUUGAACUUGGUCAA
rnacentral:rRNA from 1 species